GGCGAACAUGAUCCGCCUGCACCCGGGCCCGGGAUUCGGCGAUCGGCAGGACGCGGCUGCCCUGGCAACGGAGGAUACAGCGGCGGACAGGCGAGAGCAGUUGAUACCGGAGUAACUGAGCUGCGGUUCCUCUUCUAAAAGUCGAGAACUCGGGGUGUGAUGUGGUAACCUGAAUUCACGGCCUUUGGAGCGCCAUUUUGCACCGGAUGGAGCCAGUUUUUCAAGCCCAGAAUGCAGAAUAGAAUGUUUGCAACGGAUCAGAGUCUCCACUGUUGAUUAGUAUUUAGUAAAACAUGGACAGGACUCUAAUUUGACUAAAAUCAAGUGUUUACUAGUAUAACACACACACUACUACUACUAUUGAUGCAGUUAUCAGUAAUACAUACAAGUGUUUAGGCCUGAGGUACUCAAAAAACUCUGGUGACGUGUUAGCAGUCCGUACAUGACGCAAACCAGUGCUAAAUACAGCCCCUCUACCAUUUUAUGCUCCCCUGCAUCCUCAACCGCAGACAAAGCUGCAAAAAAAAAGUGUCAACUCCAAGCUCAGCUAAAAACUGAUUCAGAAGUCUGGGGCUUUUUUCCAUUAAGUUUAUAUGGCUUAUGCAACAUCUUAGGUGUAAAAUGUGGCAUUCAGGCAUCAGAAAAGAAAAUAAACACAUUUAUAAAUA